GACGGAGGGCGCAAGCGUUGUUCGGAAUCACUGGGCGUAAAGCGCGCGCAGGCGGGUGCGGAAGUCGGGGGUGAAAGGCCGGGGCUCAACCCUGGAUCGUUCUCUCGAUACUCCGUGCCUAGGGACCGGUAGAGGCCAGUAGAAUUCCCGGAGUAGCGGUGGAAUGCGUAGAUAUCGGGAAGAACACCAGAGGCGAAGGCGACUGGCUGGGCCGGAUCCGACGCUCAGGCGCGAAAGCGUGGGGAGCAAACAGG
rnacentral:rRNA from 1 species